AAAUUAUCAACCAAUCUCUUGAUUCAUUUCAAGUUAUCGGCUUGGACUUGGGAGUUGCUGGUGUCCCCCCUAUCAGCUCUUCUGAAAUACAUUAGCAGUUGGGUGGCUAGUCUUUCGGACGUGCACGGCCUUCGACGUGAUAAUCAUCGUCGUUCGCUGGAGCGACUUGGACAAUGCCAAUUACUCCCAUCGCUUACAAUACCAUCAAGCUUUAGUUAUUAGUCCAUCGAAAGAUCGGCGAACACAAAGCUACACAAUAUCUAC
rnacentral:misc_RNA from 1 species